UCGAGUGGCGUACGGGUGAGUAACACGUGGGUGAUCUGCCCUGCACUCUGGGAUAAGCCUGGGAAACUGGGUCUAAUACCGGAUAGGACCACACACUUCAUGGUGAGUGGUGCAAAGCUUUUGCGGUGUGGGAUGAGCCCGCGGCCUAUCAGCUUGUUGGUGGGGUAAUGGCCCACCAAGGCGACGACGGGUAGCCGGCCUGAGAGGGUGACCGGCCACACUGGGACUGAGAUACGGCCCAGACUCCUACGGGAGGCAGCAGUGGGGAAUAUUGCACAAUGGGCGCAAGCCUGAUGCAGCGACGCCGCGUGAGGGAUGACGGCCUUCGGGUUGUAAACCUCUUUCAGUAGGGACGAAGCGAAAGUGACGGUACCUACAGAAGAAGGACCGGCCAACUACGUGCCAGCAGCCGCGGUAAUACGUAGGGUCCGAGCGUUGUCCGGAAUUACUGGGCGUAAAGAGCUCGUAGGUGGUUUGUCGCGUUGUUCGUGAAAACUCACAGCUUAACUGUGGGCGUGCGGGCGAUACGGGCAGACUAGAGUACUGCAGGGGAGACUGGAAUUCCUGGUGUAGCGGUGGAAUGCGCAGAUAUCAGGAGGAACACCGGUGGCGAAGGCGGGUCUCUGGGCAGUAACUGACGCUGAGGAGCGAAAGCGUGGGUAGCGAACAGGAUUAGAUACCCUGGUAGUCCACGCCGUAAACGGUGGGUACUAGGUGUGGGUUUC
rnacentral:rRNA from 1 species